rnacentral:rRNA from 1 species
GAUGAACGCUAGCGGCAGGCCUAAUACAUGCAAGUCGGACGGGAUUCAGGAGCUUGCUUCUGAUGAGAGUGGCGCACGGGUGCGUAACACGUAUGUAACCUACCUUUAUCAGGGGGAUAGCCUCUCGAAAGAGAGAUUAAGCCCGCAUAAAAUCACAGCACAGCAUUGUGUAAUGAUCAAAUAUUUAUAGGAUAAAGAUGGGCAUGCGGAACAUUAGCUAGAUGGCGGGGUAACGGCCCACCAUGGCGACGAUGUUUAGGGGAUCUGAGAGGAUGGCCCCCCACACUGGUACUGAGACACGGACCAGACUCCUACGGGAGGCAGCAGUAAGGAAUAUGGGGCAAUGGGCGGAAGCCUGAACCAGCCAUGCCGCGUGCAGGAAGACGGCCCUACGGGUUGUAAACUGCUUUUAUACGGGAAUAAACCCAGAUACGUGUAUCUGGCUGAAUGUACUGUAAGAAUAAGGAUCGGCUAACUCCGUG